UAGCUCAGUGGCAGAGCACUUACCUAGCAUGCAUGAUGUUCUAGGUUCAACUCCUAG
rnacentral:tRNA from 1 species